UAAUAAAUAAAACUGCAUAAGAAUUUACAGACUUCAAUGACAAUUUCCAUGUCAAAGUUCAUAUGGACUAACAACAUCAAGAUGAUGAAGAGUUGGAACAAUUUAAAUGUGAUCCAUUUUCGGAGUAACCUUGUUCUUUCUUCAUCAUGCAAGAGGUACAGCCACAAAACAUGACUGAGGUCUUCAUACACAUAAUGACAGCUACAUUUGCUACUCUCUACUAUCCCAUAUUGUGUCAUGAUUGAGCAGGAUACUAAGAAAGAUCUAUUAUCGGCGUGAAAAGUAUAGACCCCUUACUUUAAAGGUGUAUAAAAAAGAUACUAAUAACUGCCUCAAGGGAAGCUUUCAAGUUGGAAUAAUCACUUCGAUGAUGGUCUAGAUAAGACUAAAAAAAGCUCUGAGAUAUCUAAUUAUGAUUGGAGUCAAAAGAAUAAGUUUAUGGAAUGAUUUGAUAGUUUGAAAAGGAGAAACAGACCUGCAAGGAAUGGAAUCUUGUCAAUGAGUGUGGGUGUAAGCCUUGGUUAGUAUUUUAUUAUCAGAGAGUUUGUGCAAAGGGUAUCAUUAUAGUUGAUAAAACUAACCAAACGUAUAAACAUGGAUUCUAAAAAUCCAGUAUAAAAUAAAAGUUAAAUAGUAUUAGUAUCUUGGAAAAUUAUUAGAUACAUUUGACAGUAAAUGAUGUCAAGAUAGGAGUCUGGUGUAUAUUGUGAAUGAUAAAUUGCAUUGCUCAUGCAAACAAUGCAACACCUCACCUAGGAAAACCAGUUUUGUUGCAGUCUCUUAUUCUCUCUUUCUGUGCUUCUCCUCCACCCCUCAACAAGGAUAUUUCAUAGGCCACGAUUGCGCGAGUUUGAACAUUUAUAACUAUCACUUGAAGGAUCUUACAGAGAUCAUGGUGUAUAUGUAUAUGUAGUAAAAUAAGAAUAAGAGAUAAAAGAAAAAAUAAAUAAAAUUCAUCGUACAGAGAAUUCCACAUAGACAU